rnacentral:rRNA from 1 species
UAAGUCCUACGGGACGCAGCAGUCGGGAAUAUUGCGCAAUGGAGGAAACUCUGACGCAGUGACGCCGCGUAUAGGAAGAAGGUUUUCGGAUUGUAAACUAUUGUCGAUAGGGAAGAUAAAAGACUGUACCUAAGGAGGAAGCCCCGGCUAACUAUGUGCCAGCAACCGCGGUAAUACGGAGGAUCCGAGCGUUAUCCGGAUUUAUUGGGUUUAAAGGGAGCGUAGGGGGAUUGUUAAGUCAGUUGUGAAAGUUUGCGGCUCAACCGUAAAAUUGCAGUUGAAACUGGCAGUCUUGAGUACAGUAG